rnacentral:rRNA from 1 species
AACGCUCGCCUCACGGCGGAUGCGAGGGUUGGGCUGCUUCACGGCGCUCUCCCCUCGAAUUUCCAGGCUCUACGUCUUUUACACACCCCAAUAGUAUGAUAUAGAAUGUAGUCAAUGGGCUUCUUAGCCUAUAAAACACUAUACAACUUUCAGCAACGGAUCUCUUGGCUCUCGCAUCGAUGAAGAACGCAGCGAAAUGCGAUAAGUAAUGUGAAUUGCAGAAUUCAGUGAAUCAUCGAAUCUUUGAACGCACCUUGCGCUCCUUGGUAUUCCGAGGAGCAUGCCUGUUUGAGUGUCAUUAAAUUCUCAACCUCACCAGUUUUCUGAACUGUGUCGAGGCUUGGAUGUGGGGGUUUGUGCAGGCUGCCUCAGCGCGGUCUGCUCCCCUGAAAUGCAUUAGCGAGUUCUAUACUGAGCUCCGUCUAUUGGUGUGAUAAUUAUCUACGCCGUUGGUCGGGUUCAGACUUGCUUCUAACCGUCCGCAAGGACAACUCUUUGACAAUUUGACCUCAAAUCAGGUAGGACUACCCGCUGAACUUA